AAAAAAGUGAGAGAAUUUCUUCUUCUUCUUCACGUGCGGCCAGACUCUCCCCCUCCCCCAAAUCUCUUCCUCUUCCAGCCGCGUGAAGCCACCCACAGACGGCCCAACCUCCUCGUCACCACCCGCGCCACUACCCGCGAAGGUCGUCGUGCCGCUCGUACCGCUACCCACAAAGGCCGUUCACGUCGUCAAGCCCACACCGACCAUCAACGUCUGCGUCGUCGAGCCCAUGCCAGUCUAGCCACCGGUCAGUUUCGGCUGCGCCGUCUGCCGUGCUUCGCCGGCCUUUUUCGUUCUACCAGAAACUUGGAGUUUUGAUUCGAGGUCGUGAAGGGAAAAUCAGUGCAUUGUCCAGCAGGUUCGGGAUCUUUUCGAGUGAGAUUUGGGUAGAGGUAAAGAUAGACUGACGAAUCACAAGAGGGAUCCGUGACUCAACCAUGACCCAACCAUUUGGACAUGUUAUCGCACUUAGGUUUCGUUUGAUAGGGUCUGAUUUAGGAGUCUAGCAUUUUAAAAUCCAUGAUUAUUUCAUUUAUUAAUUUGUUGAUUUGUUUAAUUGCUGUUUAUUCUAAAUUCAAGUCACGGGUACCUCGAACAGUGUUUUCAGGAUUUUAGUGUUUGAAUUUUACUUAAAGAAAUAAAAGAUUUAUUUAUUUUAUUAAAUUUUUCUUUGAGAAAUUUAUUCUCAAGCCUAUGCAUGUAUAUAGUAGCAUCCUAGAAGUAACAUAGAAAUUUGGAUCGUUACAAGUUGAAUAUUGAGAGAGUAGAACAUGCUCUCG